AGAAGACUGAUAAGUUGAAUAUUUCAGGUUGCUUUUAGGACUAAGGUCUUCCAUCCUAACAUUAAUAGCAAUGGAAGUAUCUGUCUGGAUAUUCUUAAAGAACAAUGGAGCCCUGCUCUUACCAUUUCCAAGGUUCUAUUGUCAAUAUGUUCUCUGUUGACGGAUCCAAAUCCUGAUGACCCACUUGUCCCUGAAAUUGCUCAUAUGUACAAGACUGACCGGACCAAGUAUGAGGCUACUGCUCGCAGCUGGACACAGAAGUAUGCCAUGGAUGAUGGGAAGAACCUCCAGCUUAUAUGUUGUAGCUCCUGGGUUUUCUGUCGAUUUAGGUAAAAUGAAUAGACGGAUUAAUAGCUGCCUUUGCUUUCAGGAGUGGCAAAUAGUUAUGACUCGUUUUGUGAAUUUGAAUAUGAAGACAUUAGAACGGGUGGCAACUGUAAUGAUACUAGCUCGUUUUUGUUAUAUUUAAUCUGUAUUUCAUGUU